ACCGUGAAAAAUGUAGUCAGUCUGAAUCUCGUAGACACGGAAAGCGCAAGACUGGCUGAGACUUUGCUUUGCUUGUGUCUGUUUGUGUGGCAUCUAUUUUUAAAAAUGCAGAGUGCUGGUCCAGGAAUAUAUUUCCCGUUCUACACAGUAUCUAUAAGUUGAUUCCAUGGCCUGCUCACAAUCGUUUGCAUGGGGGAGGCACAAUUAUGCUGUCAUUUGUCAUCACUCGUCAACAAGUGUUUACGUUAACCACAAAGCAUCAUAGGACAUUUGCGGAGAUGGUGAAUGGCGUCGAAGAAGUUUCCCUCGAGUCCCUCCUCUGUCGUCGACUCGUCAUGUUUACAUUUCGCGUGUGAGCGCGUGAACGUCAUCACCGAGGACGUCCUUCUUCCAUUUCGCCAGAAUAUCACAUGGAUGUAAUUUUUGAAACAAAUAGCAAUAGACAAAUAAUAAAGAUGGAUAAUUCAA